rnacentral:rRNA from 1 species
AGAGUUUGAUCAUGGCUCAGGAUGAACGCUAGCGGCAGGCUUAAUACAUGCAAGUCGAGGGGCAGCACGGUUAGCAAUAACUGGUGGCGACCGGCGCACGGGUGCGUAACACGUAUACAAUCUACCUUAAACAGGGGGAUAGCCUUUCGAAAGAGAGAUUAAUACCCCGUAAUAAAUUGAACGGCAUCGUUUGAUUUUGAAAGCUCCGGCGGUUUGAGAUGAGUAUGCGUCUGAUUAGCUAGUUGGUGAGGUAACGGCUCACCAAGGCGACGAUCAGUAGGGGAUCUGAGAGGACUAACCCCCACACUGGUACUGAGACACGGACCAGACUCCUACGGGAGGCAGCAGUAAGGAAUAUUGGUCAAUGGAGGCAACUCUGAACCAGCCAUGCCGCGUGCAGGAUGACGGCCCUAUGGGUUGUAAACUGCUUUAUACAAGAGAAAACCCUGGUACGUGUACCAGGUUGAUAGUAUUGUAAGAAUAAGCAUCGGCUAACUUCGUG